ACUGGGGUUUAAAAGCCCCUAAAGAGGUGAAACUGAGGCAGGCUGCCUAUAGUCUGACCCUGAGCUAUGAAGAAGUGCUCAGCUCUAUGACAACUGGCCUAGUCAGUAACAUCCCCUCCUAUCAAGAAGGCCAACAGUACAGCAAUGGAGAACAAGAUGAAGGAGAGAGUCACAGCAGGGACUGCAGUAUCUUCUUGAAACUCCUACAGGAUCAGCAGAGGCAGUAGGAGGUGCUGUGGUCAGUCUAGCAGGAUCAUCAGCAGUGACAUGGAUGAAAAACACAUCUAUGAAAGACCCUGCAUAAGUUCCUGUCUCCAAGAUACUUCACACAGAGGCGGAGUGAAAGAAGACCUCAUGAUCACCAUGUGUUUGCUGCACAUCUGCCUUGUAAUGCUGUUCUCCAUUGAAAUCUCUUCUCUGGACUGUACCAUACUUCACUUCCAGCAGAAUAAAAUGAACACAGAAAGCUUAGAGCUUCUGAGCAAAAUGGGUGGACAAUUUCCUCUACAAUGCCUAAAUGAAAAUAGGAACUUCAGGCUCCCCCAGAAAGCUCUCAGGCCCAGAGAGUCCCAGGAGAAGGAUGCCAAGAUGGUAAUUCAGGAGAUCUUCCAGCAGAUCUUCAAUAUCUUCAGCGAAAACCUCACGCAAGCUGCCUGGGACAGGAGUUCUGUAGAGACAUUACAAAAUGGACUUCACUGGCAAACUGAGAAGCUAGAGACAUGUUUGCGUUCAGAGAUGGAGAAUGAGACACCCUAUUUGGGCAACAAGAAACUCCUGUUCCCCAUGCUGAAGCUGAAGAAAUACUUCCAAAGAAUCAGGGAUUUCCUGAAAGAAAAACAAUAUAGCCUGUGUGCCUGGGAGACCAUCCGCUUGGAAAUGGGGAGAUGUCUUUUGUUUGUUGACCAGCUGAUUAAAAAGGCUUAAAAACUAAGCUUUGCCACUCUCAAGAGGCACAAAUUCCUUUUCACUUAUUUGUGCUUGGACUUAUCAGUACUUCAGCUACAGAUAUAAAGACAACCGAAUGAAAUAUUCUACGCCAGAAUCUCACAUUUCUCAGUUGCCUCUUCCAAGUGAAAAGCUUCUGCCUUUUGAAUAAGCAACAGACUGAGAACAUGCACUCUACACAUGUUCUGUAUUAAAUGUCACUUUCAUGAUAUUUUGAAAUGCUUUGUUCACUUAAAAUUCACGGAAGAGGAAAAUGAUGGUGGCGGAGCAGGGAAACCACUUUGUUUAAAAAAAAAUGGACAUAAAUCAGUUCAGAAACAUGGAUGAAAAAUGUUGAGUCUGCAAAAGACUUUACAAUCCACAGUUUAUUAACAGACAAGGAGUGUAAGACUACGUGAACUUGACAGCUAUGUGUCUGCUGCAAAUGCUAAGAUGACAGUCCAAGAGAUCACACAUCAGAUCUUCAGUGUCUUUAAUAAAAAUCUCGCCCAAAUUGCCUGGAAUGGUAAUUCCAUAAAGACAUGCUCAAUUGAACACCAUGGAGACAUGUUCAGAUGCAGAUCUGGAGAGGAAAAAAUCAAUUCAGGAAGUGAGUGGAUCUAAAGCUUUACCCUGACACUGACAGGGGAAUAAAAGAUUGCAAAGACCUAUUUCCCAAAAGGUGAACAAUAGGCCUAUAUGCCUGAGAGUUUCUGUUUGGAGAAUCUAAGUUAUCUGCUUACUCAACAUCAGAAGGCUUAAAGUCUGAUAUGAAGGUCCUGGAUCAAACAAAACAGUUUAUACAAAGUUAUUACCUAAGGAGUUGAGUAUUUUAAACUAUUACUUUUGUUUCCUAAACUGAAAACACUUUGUUUACUUUUGUUUGUUGCAGUUUGUUUGAAAUCAUCUUUAUCACACUAUUUGUAAAUAAAAUUAUUUUUGUAAUAGAAAACUACUAUAGUUGUGAGAAUUACUCCAGAUAAGCAGUGACAUCUGAUUUAUGCAUUUAAUCACACAAUCAUGUCACUUUGCAGCAAGUUGUGACCCUGAUUCUGCAUUUCUAGAACACCCAGUAAAUUAAAUGCAAGAAUGUACCUCA